GGACAGCAGGAGCCCCAGCACAAGAGGUUUUUAUCCUUGAUGAUGUUCUCCAGGAGCUCUGCCAUUGCAGCCUGCGAGGUGGAGACCUUUUGUUCUUCAAACUCCUGAGGAGUGAUUUGUUUGCAGUAGGAAUACGUUGGCAAGAUGGCACAAAUUUCUUCUUUUUCCUGUUUGCACUGAAAGAAAAAGGGCUCUGCAUGCACUCAACUCAUUCUGUACUAUUUGACGCAGGACACAGCGGGAAAACGUCUGGAUCAGCUGGAAAAGUGCAGCACAACUUCAGUGGAUAAAGCUGUGGGAUUUAUUUCCCUCCUCUCCACCCUACAGAGGCACAGAUGCUCCAGUAUCAUCUUCCAAAUAUGGUCACACAAGAAGGAAAAGUCAUCGUUGUUCCCUCAUCUGAAUUAAAUCCUUUGGAACUGAGCAGCACUCUCAAUUAAAAAUACAUAUUCUAAAAAGGCAACAGCAGAAAAAGGCUUAACCUACAGAAAAAUGAACAUCCUCACAGAACUGUGGAAAAGAAUCCUGGAAUGGUUUGGGUUGGGGCAGGGACAGCUCCCACUGUCCCAGGCUGCUCCAAACCCAUCCAGCCUGGCCUUGGGCACUGCCAGGGAUCCAGGGACAGCCCCAGCUGCUCUGGGAAUUCUAUUCCAGGGCCUGCCCACCCUCUGAAUAAAGAAUUUCUUCCUACUUCCAAUCAAAACCUCAAUCAAUCAUCUUGAGACAAGUGAGGUGGUGAAAACCUGCAGGCACACCAGGUUUAAACCAGAAUGAGAUGGACUUCAAGGUCCCUCCCAACCCAAACCAGCCUGGCAUUCUAAAUGGCAGCUGGGUGAGAAACCAGGAGGAUUUCUGAGGACUCAUCUGCAUUCUUUUAACUGAUGUUUAA